CUCACCCGGCCGUCGCCCCCUCACUCACCAACUACUCACCCGGCCAUCGCCCCCUCGCUCGCUCACCAGUCGCUCGCUCCUCUCCGCUCCAACAGGCCACACCACGCAGUCAUGUCUGGAGGUCACGCUGUAGCGAAACUUUAUUUCAACUGCGGUUAUUGUGGAGUAGCCCUAUCUGAUGGGACUUUUACAUACGACAAAAUGGUUUCUACGGAUGAAAGAUGUCAACGUCUAUUUUGUGAGUCAUGCGCACGAAUUCACGAGAAUUCCUUCAAUCAUGAUAUUUUUCGAGCACAUAAUCUCGAUUAUAUCAUUUGAACUGGUAUAUUUGUUUGCGCUUUUGAGGGAUGUGCCCAAGAAAUACCUGCACCACUGUAUAGUCAUCAUCAGAGGACGUGCCCGUACAAAAGACUUACGUGUCCAAUAUGUAAUAAUGGAUUUGCCUUGAUAUCACUGAGGUCACAUCUUCUGAGAGAACAUCAGUUCAACCAUUACCAGCUUAAUUAUGGUUCUCCCAGCACUGGUCAUAAUAUCUCCAAAGUUAGAGGGUGUGUUUUUAGCGGUAGAGAGGAAGACUUUGUGUUCUUCAUUAGAGGCGCAACCCUUUAUUUUGUAUGGCCUGGUGCAUCAGCUGCU